rnacentral:rRNA from 1 species
GAUGAACGCUGGCGGCGUGCCUAAUACAUGCAAGUCGAGCGAACGGACGAGAAGCUUGCUUUUCUGAUGUUAGCGGCGGACGGGUGAGUAACACGUGGAUAACCUACCUAUAAGACUGGGAUAACUUCGGGAAACCGGAGCUAAUACCGGAUAAUAUUUUGAACCGCAUGGUUCAUAAGUGAAAGACGGUCUUGCUGUCACUUAUAGAUGGAUCCGCGCUGCAUUAGCUAGUUGGUAAGGUAACGGCUUACCAAGGCAACGAUGCAUAGCCGACCUGAGAGGGUGAUCGGCCACACUGGAACUGAGACACGGUCCAGACUCCUACGGGAGGCAGCAGUAGGGAAUCUUCCGCAAUGGGCGAAAGCCUGGCGGAGCAACGCCGCGUGAGUGAUGAAGGUCUUCGGAUCGUAAAACUCUGUUAUUAGGGAAGAACAUAUGUGUAAGUAACUGUGCACAUCUUGACGGUACCUAAUCAGAAAGCCACGGCUAACUACGUG